rnacentral:rRNA from 1 species
CCUACGGGGGGCAGCAGUGGGGAAUAUUGGACAAUGGGCGAAAGCCUGAUCCAGCCAUGCCGCGUGUGUGAAGAAGGCCUUCGGGUUGUAAAGCACUUUCAGUGGGGAAGAAAGCCUUGGGGCUAAUACCCUCGAGGAAGGACAUCACCCACAGAAGAAGCACCGGCUAACUCCGUGCCAGCAGCCGCGGUAAUACGGAGGGUGCGAGCGUUAAUCGGAAUUACUGGGCGUAAAGCGCGCGUAGGCGGUCUGAUAAGCCGGUUGUGAAAGCCCCGGGCUCAACCUGGGAACGGCAUCCGGAACUGUCAGGCUAGAGUGCAGGAGAGGAAGGUAGAAUUCCCGGUGUAGCGGUGAAAUGCGUAGAGAUCGGGAGGAAUACCAGUGGCGAAGGCGGCCUUCUGGACUGACACUGACGCUGAGGUGCGAAAGCGUGGGUAGCAAACAGGAUUACAUACCCCUGUAGUC